GAGCGCCACGCCCAUGAACGUUUCUUCUCCUCACUGAAGUACGUAGCGAACUACAGAACAGCGGAAGAAUUCAGUUUGAGUCGUCAGGCUACUGCAGAGGAGGAGAAUCGUGUGUAUUAGUCAUUUUUACCUCAUUGCCAAAGACUAACACAAUACAAUACCAUAACCAUUCUGCAAUGCAUUAACAACAACAACUGGUUGGCAUUAUAACAGACCGACCUGCUGAAUACUGACUGUUAUAAACUGUUCUAGUCCAGACUGUUGUUUCAAGUCAACAGAGCCAGCCAAUUGGCAGUCUACCCGUCUCAUCAUGGCAACAAUGGAGCCUGUGG